rnacentral:tRNA from 1 species
GCCGAGGUGGUGAAAUGGUAUACACGUGACACUUAAAAUGUCAUGUCUUUACAGACGUGCGGGUUCGAGCCCCGCCCUCGGCACCC